UACGGAGGAUCCAAGCGUUAUCCGGAAUCAUUGGGUUUAAAGGGUCCGUAGGCGGUUUUGUAAGUCAGUGGUGAAAGCCCAUCGCUCAACGGUGGAACGGCCAUUGAUACUGCAAGACUUGAAUUAUUAAGAAGUAACUAGAAUAUGUAGUGUAGCGGUGAAAUGCUUAGAGAUUACAUGGAAUACCAAUUGCGAAGGCAGGUUACUACUAGUGGAUUGACGCUGAUGGACGAAAGCGUGGGGAGCGAACAGG
rnacentral:rRNA from 1 species